UACGUAGGUGGCGAGCGUUGUCCGGAAUUACUGGGCGUAAAGGGUGUGUAGGUGGGCAGGUAAGUCAGAAGUGUAAUCUAUGGGCUUAACCCAUCGUUCGCUUCUGAGACUGCGUGUCUUGAGUAGUGGAGAGGGAGACGGAAUUCCAGGUGUAGCGGUGGAAUGCGUAGAGAUCUGGAAGAACACCAGUAGCGAAGGCGGUCUCCUGGCCACAUACUGACGCUGAGGCUCGAAAGCUAGGGGAGCAAACAGG
rnacentral:rRNA from 1 species